rnacentral:lncRNA from 1 species
AGAUUGGAGGGGAUGAGUCAGGGGCAAGGAAGGAUUAACAGAUUCUGCCUCAAGUCCUGGUGAACCAACUCCUCUCCCCAAGACAGACACAUACUAGUGAAAUAAAUUGGAUUUAAAUCAUCACCUGAGGCAAUCCUGAAAGAGAAAAGCAGUCCUAGAAAAGAGUGGAGGAAAAGAGGACAGCCCCAUUCUCUUUGUGACCACGAAGACUGCCGCCAUGUGGUUGGGAGCCACGUAACUUCUUUUAGUGCCAGCUGAGAUUCUUCUGCCCUGGAACUAGUUCCUCCGAGUUAUUGCCAGGCCUGGAGAUUGAAUUCCUGCAGCUGGAAGGUGGGGAAAGGUACGGACAAAUGAGCUAUGAAUUUAACAGGCUAACAUCCCAGCUCCACAGGGCUGUGGCCAGAGAGGAAUUCUCCCCUUUCAAAGCUGACUCCGGAUUGCUUAGAGAAAGAAGCGAAUAAUAAUUGAGUCAGAAUGAGAAGUCCUUCCUUCCUUCUCAGGAGGAUGUCCUGUUAGCAACUUCUUUGGACACAAGGAGGAAAUUAAGAAGCAUCAUUACUGUUAAUAUCAUUUUCUUUUUCAGAAUGUUAACAGCCUUGAUAUUAUACAAAGGUUGAUAAAAAUGUAUUUCAUAAGUCAA